UUUGGGUCUUACGCUUCCUCUUCCAUCAGUCAAUUAAGUCUUUCUAAUGGAUACAAAUUCCUAAUUGACGGUGCGAUUUUCACAUCCUCUUCCUCUUCCUACUCUUCGAUGAUCCGUCUCCUCUUCACUACCUCCUAUUUCCCCUAGAUUAGAAACCCAGAUUCCUCAUCUACACUCUUCCAUUUCUUUAUAUGCAUAUUCUCUCUAUUACAGUUGGGGACCAAAUCAACACACACAAGAGUGACGACAACGAUGAACCAAAUCAACACACACAAGAGCGACGACAAUGAUGAGCCCCAAAACUCUGGACAUGAGGAAUCAAGUGACGGCAAGUCUCGGCGAUGGUAACUGACUUCAUUCUAUACAUGUGUUGUAGAUUCAAUUCUCAAUUUCACACUUCCCUCUCCUUAAUCAACUUUUUAUGUUGAGGAUUUUAGUUUCUUUAUCUUGAAUUUGAUGUGAAUAUUUUAUCAAUAUUGGGUGUUAUAAUUGUUACUUUGGCUGACUUGGUGCACUUCAAGUGUUUGAAAUAAUAUCGCAUAAAAUUUGUUCUAAAUGUCAUAUAAUGCUUCCUGUUUUACUAGAAAAUACAGUGGUUCAAAUUUAACUUUUGAGAAUAUUAUGUAAAAUUUUGAUUACUACCAGGUGUAAUUUGUUUUGUUAAAUUUUUUAUUCAGAAAGUCUUAGGCUUAAAGGAACAAAAAAGUUUGCCUAUUUUUACUCAUUUUUUUGUGCUCUAGUGCAUCUACGGUCUAUUUCUUUCUUUAUAUAUUCAUUUUUUCACUUAAAUUGUUGUUAUAUGUAGUUGAAUUAACAUACACACAUACAAGGUGCUGGAACUUAAUUGUUUAUGUUUCUUAAAUAUAUUUCUAGUCAUAAAUAUUAUAAAUUUGUGUUUUAUAUAUGUGAAUUCAUGGGAGUGUGUGCUUAUAUAUUGUAGGCAUUCGAAAUUUCUUUUUUCUUUUACUAACUAUGCAGAAGGACAAAAACAUCUUUUUCACACUCCAGUGAUAAACCUGAAGGACUACAACAUCAGUUUCAACCCUAAAGAUAACCUUGGGAGAUCUAGUUUCCAACCCUAGAGAUAACCCCAGGAGAUCAGUUUCUAACCCCGGAGUUAACCCCGGGAGAUUCAGAGUCCAACUCCAAAGAUAACCUGGGGAGAUCAGUUUCUAAUCCUAGAGAUAACCCCGGGGGAUCAAGUUCAAAGCCCGGAGUCAACCCCAGGAGGUCAAACCAACCUCAAAGAUAACCUUGAGGACAAUCAAAGUCAACAGCAGACCAAUCUCCUAGAUAACCCUGAAAAAAAACUGCUAUACCUGCGCUAAAGUCAGAGACAACCCCGUGAAGAACAAAAUGGUCAUUUUCCCCCUCAACAUUAUCUCAACAUUGUUCAAAUCAAACUUCACCAAAAGAUGUCCCAUGUGACGUCCCCAAAUUCAGGUACUUAAAAUCCAAACUUGGUGCUUCACGAUAUCAUUUCUUUGAGCGGCAUAAUACUAAUAAUAAUAACAAUAAUAUAAAUACCAAACUUAAUUUACAUAUACAUCAGAGUCUAAUCCCAAGUACGCAACCUUUAAUAUAUUCAUUACAUGAUAAUUAAUAGAUAUCAUCCUUAUCCUAAUAAAGUCAAACUAUUACAUAAUAUAAUACCAACUUAUUCUGCAACCUUCCCUUUCCCUUUGUUCUUAGCUAAGCCUUCUGGUUGUUCACACUUAGCUGAAAAAAUUUAAAUCAAGCAAGGAUGAACAUUUAAUUGCCCAACAAGUAAUAACAACAAUAAAUAUUAUCUGAAAAGAUUAAAUAUUUUCUUUGAACGACACUUCUACAAUGAUUCAACAGUUAUGAAGUAAGCUAAACCAAUAACAAACAACAUAUCAUUUCGAUUUCAAAAUUUUGAAACUACGUACUGACUAUAAAUGAGGAUCAGUCGACAGACUAUGAACAUUAUUUUCUAUUUUUGAAAAGGUUAAACAGAACUUCAUCUGUAAACUAUCAUAACUUACAGGCACGGGGGUGAUCAGCCCGUUAUGCCCUAUAUUGAUCAAUACUACAUGUUCGAACGAUAUUUUCGUCCAGUAUAUCCGCCUUAGGCGUAUAAAAGUUUUCCAGAUUCGGGAUGUUCAUACUAGUCUAGAAUCUGAACCAAAACAAUUCGGUUGGAUACAAUAAAGUUCUAUCUUAUUCAAUAAUAUUUUUAAAUCUGUGUCUAGCAGAAUCAAAUAGCUUAGAUGGCUUUUAAGUCGAUGUAUACAUACUAGAAACCAAUAAGUAUGUAUCAACAUGUGUUAAAAUAUAAUGAUUAUCCAAGUGAGGACACUUGUAUAACCAUGCUUAGAAACUAACGAACAAAAUAUAUAUCUUGAUUUAUAAUAACAGAAAUAAGGAAAUUAUACAACAUAUUAUAAUCUAAUAACUUAUACAGAAUCAUUGCAUAAGUAUAUACAAAGGUUAAGAUACUUGAACAAUGAAAAAGAAUAGUUCCGAUAUUUGUUUACGCAUGUCCAUUACAUAAAGUAAAUGCAAAGACAAGAUACUUGCUUGAUCUGCUGCUUACACUUAUGCAACUUAGUUUUAUCUUUUAUAUCAAGCCCUAUCAUUAAUAAGAUCAUUUAUUCAAUUAGAAUAAUAUAUCAUAACACAUAGUACUGCUAUUUUCAGUCAGCACAUAACCUAAUCACAUUGACACAUAUGUUUAGCAGUCAUUAGAUCACAAACAAAUACAUAUACCGACAAUAUAUAUAAGUCCAGAUUAAUUUUUGAAAUAUUUCGGUGUACCGACGGCUUUAUCGGGUAAUUAUCGAGUCUAAUACUAUAUCAUGUAGUUUAAUAUAACUUAAACAUCGGUCAAAUUAUUUUUAAAUGACUUAUAAUAAUUUUUAAACAAUUAUUAUAAUUUAUCAUGAUUUUUCAAACACCGAAAUCAUUAUUAAAUGAUUUAAAUAUUAAAUAAUUCUAUUAUCAUUAAUUUUUAAAUAAUAUUAAACUAUUAAUGAAACCAUUGUCAAAAUAUUAAAGUUAUUUAUAAUAACUUAAAAUAUUUUUAAAGUAUUAAUAUUACCCUUAAAUGAUUUUUAAAAUAAUUAAUAUCAUUUUUAAAUAAUUACCAUUAAUAUUUAAAUAUUAAUGCAUUAUUUUUCAAAAUAUUAAAAGUCAUUAAUUAUAAUUUAAAAUAUUUUUAAUUCAUUUAUAUCCUUUUUAAAUAAUUUUUAAAUUAAUAAAAUCAUUUUAAAAUUAUUUAUUUAAUAUAAUUAUUAAAUAAAUCUAAUAUCAUUAGUAUUAAUUUAUUAAUGAAAUUUACCUUUAAAUAUUAAAAGUUAUAUUUUAUAACUUCAAAUAUUUUUAAAUACCUUAUUAUCAUUUAAAAUGACUUUUAAUAUAAUAAAAUCAUUUUAAUUAAUUUAUUUAAUACAUUUAUUAAAUAAAUUAAAUAUCAAUAAUAUUUAAAUAAAUAAUAAUAUUUAUGAAAAAUAUGUCAAAUUAUUAAAAGUUAUUUUUUAUAACUUCAAAUAAUUUUUAAAACUAUUUUUGGAAUUUUUAUAAAUUAAUUACUAUUUUUAAAUAAUUUUUAGAAAAUAAAUUAAAUAAACUGUCACUAUAGCCUUUAGCGUUAGCGACAUAAAGUGUAGCCUUUGGUGUUCUUGGUGCUCAAGAACACCCCAAUGUCAGUUACCAAGUGACCAUGUUUGACCAUCUAUAGCUCUCAGAUCUUGAUGUUUCUGGGAAUGAUUUUCGUCAGAUCAUGUAGAACUAGUGUAAUACUACAAGAUCCAAUAACAAACAUGAUCAAAAAGCAUAACAUGAAAGAGAUCUGAGCAUGAAAAGUGACUGUCAGAGCUGUUCUUCAUUUUCUAGGUUACCUAGAAAUGAAGAACAGUUCAAUUGGCCAUAUUUGGGCUUUCACAACUUGAAAUCUGUGCAAUGAUGUUGUGAUUUAAAAGUUGAAGUGUACAACCAACAUGUAAGAGAGUAGAUCUAUUACACAAAAUCGAUCUAACAACAACAGACUUAACAGUUAUGACUCGGUCAAACCAUGUCAGACGACAUGUUCAUGUGUUUUCUGGGUUACCCAGAAAAUAGAGAACGUGCUCGACUUGGCUAGUUUGACCGACCACUAAAUCCAACCUGUUUAUCAAUUAAGUGGUCUUAAGGAAUGAUAAUGUAGUCUAAACAACAUACUACAACUUAGAUACAACAAAAAUAACAAAGCAACAACAAACAGUAAGAUCAGUGGCCACAAAGUUCUUGUCAGACCGUUUUGGGCAAGAUCUGGGUUACCCAGAUUUUGUCUAGUCAUGGUCGGUCAACGGGGUUUGACCACCCAUAUCAUGCAAUCUGUUCAUGCUCGGAUCUUGAAUCAAGUUCCAGAGUACAGAUCUCAUAACAUACUACAUGAUCGGACCUUUAAACAACAAAAACACAUAACAGACAAAGAUCUAUGAGGUCUGAUAUUCAUUGUCAAACAACUUUUUCAACUGUUUCCAAAUUUGCAAAAACAUCAAUUUUGAGCCUAUAGAUGUUAUGGAUCUAACAUCUAUCAACCCAGAUCAUCAUUAUACACUAUAAAUAACAUGUUUAACACAAAAAACUUAACAUCUAACACAUCAUUAAGGAUAAGAUUUGGUUCUAGGGUUUUAUACCUUAUGAACAAACUUUUGAUUCUUGGCUACUGAUCUGUUAAUGGAGGUAGUGGGGCUUGCUUUUGGGACUGAAAUGCUACUAUAAUUCGUGGGUUUUAGAUAGAGAGAACUUUGGAUGAGUGUUUGCAUAAAAAUGAAGCUUAAAUGUGAUUUUCUCUCUCUCUUGAUCCUUAUAUAUGAUGUAUAUAAUGUGUAUGGCUGAAGUAUAAGGCUGAGAGCUUGAGUUUUCUAGCACAUGGCUAAGCUUAGGGUUGGCCAACAACUCCCAAUAGUCCAAGAUCUACAAGUUAUCUCAAAUAAUGCAAGAGGGGUAUAAUAGUCUUUUGGCUUUUGAUUUUAAUGGCAAUAAAGUAACUUGGCAAACCCUUAGGGUUUAACCCUAAGGUUCCAUAAAUUUUAAUUUUUUCUAGGAUUUCUAAUUAGAACAAAAAUGUGAGACCCCAGAUUUUAUGAACAAAGAUUUAAAUUUCUCGAAUUUUGAAUAUUAUGGUGUGGAUUUGAUAUAAUGUUAUAGUUGUGGUAAUAUUUACAAAUUUUACAAAGUAAACAAAUGGUUAUAUAAUAUUCGAUUGGUCGGGGAAUAUUCGUUUUAACAGAGAAUAUUCGUACGACGGCACAAUCAUUGGUGGAUCCCACAACGGAAGUAUUGUCGUAGUAAGAAAACGACAGAAUUAUCUUUUAUUAAAAAUAACGGCGAAAGUAUUACCGUUAAAACUGUUGAACUACCCGGUAGUAAAAGUAUAGUAAUACGUAUGGUUGCAUAGUAGCACACGGUAUUGAUUAUUGAUGCUUACGUAAGAAGUCACUAGUUAUACUCAAUUAUUGCUACAAUAAUUGCUACAUCAUAUCUCUCAUAUUAUUGAUUCAAUUAUUGUCACAGUAUCAUCUGUAUAAUAUGUUAUAUUAUUAAAUCAAUAAUUGAGACAACAAAGUUAUUCAUAUUAUUAUUUCCAAUAUUGAUAAUGUCUAUAAGUUCUGUCAAGGAGAGGUUUGGUCAUCUAAUUGCGCGCCAAUAAGGAGAAAUCCUUAUCGGAAAGCCCCCUCUUUCCUGGGAACGACCUGAUUGUUAAAUAUUGUGAAUUAUAAUAUUAAUGAUGAAUAAGUUUGUGUUGAUAAAAGAUGAAAUUGAUAGUUCCAUUGUGUUAGGAUUAUUAGUGUUAGUGGAAAUCGACAUUUAUUUCGAUAAUAAUUGAUGUCUGGAAGUUAUCGGGUAAUUAAUUGGAUAAAUGAGCAAUUAAUUGCUAUUAAUUCACAUGAUUAUAACUAUUUGUUCGCAUGUGUGUACUAUUGAUUCACAUUCUUGUACUAUUAGGGGAGUUGGUGCAAGAUUGAUAAUACUUGCAUGACUAAGUUAAAAAUGGAGGUAUAGAUGGAGAUACUAUACUGUAAUUCGUAUUUUCACAUGUCUAGAACUAUUGAUUCACAUGAUUUAUUAUUGAUUCACACAAUUUACUAUUAGGGGAGGUGGUGCAAGUUUGAUAAUACUUGCAGGACUAAAUUAAAAAUUAAGAAAAAGAAGAAGGUAUUAUACUGUAAUAUUUCAAGCCCCAAAAUGUGCAAUUAUUGAAACUAUAUUUUCUUAUAAAUAGAAGCUCAUUCCUUCAUUAUUUUUUACCAAUUUACUAAAGCUAUAGAGCAAUUAUUAUAGAGAGAAAUUAUAGAGAGAAAGAAGAAGAGAAGUCUGCUACCUCACUAUUNNNNNNNNNNNNNNNNNNNNNNNNNNNNNNNNNNNNNNNNNNNNNNNNNNNNNNNNNNNNNNNNNNNNNNNNNNNNNNNNNNNNNNNNNNNNNNNNNNNNAGAUGGCCAAAGCGAACGAACAAUUCAGACAUUGGAAGAUAUGCUGAGAGCAUGUGUCAUGGACUUUAAAGGAAGCUGUGAAGAACAAUUACCAUUGGUGGAAUUUGCUUACAACAACAGUUACCAAGCGAGCAUCGGCAUGCCACCUUACGAGGCAUUGUACGGCAGAAAGUGCAGAACUCCACUGUGCUGGGAUGAAGUCGGUGAAUGCCAAUUGUUAGGACCAGAACUGGUACAACAAACUGCUGACGUUGUUAAACUCAUCAGGACAAGAUUAGUAGCAGCCCAAGACAGACAGAAAAAGUAUGCUGAUCAACACAGACAAGAUCGUGCAUUCGACGUAGGAACUUUUAUAUUCCUAAAAGUUUCUCCUUGGAAGGGGAAAAUUCGUUUCGGUAAAAAGGGAAAGCUAAGCCCGAGGUUUAUUGGACCCUUUGAAGUGCUGCGAAGAGUGGGAGAAGUGGCUUACGAGGUAGCUCUACCUCCAGAGUUAGAAAACAUUCAUAAUGUUUUUCACAUUUCGGUGUUACGACCAUAUAAACCCGACUACAAACAUGUGAUCGAGUAUGAACCAUUACAGUUUGAGAAAGAUUUAUCUUAUGAAGAGGUUCCUAUCCAGAUUGUCGACAGAAAAGAACAAGUGCUCAGGAAUAAAGUGAUACCUUCUGUGAAGGUGAUAUGGAGGAACCACAACGCUGAAGAAGCUACGUGGGAACUNNNNNNNNNNNNNNNNNNNNNNNNNNNNNNNNNNNNNNNNNNNNNNNNNNNNNNNNNNNNNNNNNNNNNNNNNNNNNNNNNNNNNNNNNNNNNNNNNNNNNNNNNNNNNNNNNNNNNNNNNNNNNNNNNNNNNNNNNNNNNNNNNNNNNNNNNNNNNNNNNNNNNNNNNNNNNNNNNNNNNNNNNNNNNNNNNNNNNNNNNNNNNNNNNNNNNNNNNNNNNNNNNNNNNNNNNNNNNNNNNNNNNNNNNNNNNNNNNNNNNNNNNNNNNNNNNNNNNNNNNNNNNNNNNNNNNNNNNNNNNNNNNNNNNNNNNNNNNNNNNNNNNNNNNNNNNNNNNNNNNNNNNNNNNNNNNNNNNNNNNNNNNNNNNNNNNNNNNNNNNNNNNNNNNNNNNNNNNNNNNNNNNNNNNNNNNNNNNNNNNNNNNNNNNNNNNNNNNNNNNNNNNNUAGAGCAAUUAUUAUAGAGAGAAAUUAUAGAGAGAAAGAAGAAGAGAAGUCUGCUACCUCACUAUUUCAGUAUCCAGUUUCUUCUAAGGUAAAGGGUAUUAUUCUUUCGUAUUCAUGAAGAGAGUUAUUUUCUUUCAAUACUCGUAAGGGUUGUUAUUCCAUUCUUUAUUAUUAUGUUGGAAUAACAUGUCUAUGCGAAGUACCGCAUACAUGGUGAAAUUCUUCUGUUAUUUCAUUCUUUAUUAUUCUGUUGGAAUAACUUGUUUGUGCAGUCUAUCGCAUGCAUGGUGAAUUCUGUUGUUAUUCCAUUCUUUAUUAUUCUGUUGAAAUAUCCUGUCUGUGCAGAUUACGCAUGACAUGUUCCAUUCUUUAUUAUUCUGUUAGAAUAUCCUGUCUGUGCGGAUUACGCAUGACCUGGUUCCAUUCUUUAUUAUUCUGUUGAGAAUAAUCUGUCUGUGCGGUCUAUCACAUGCAUUGUGAAUUCGUUUGUUAUUCCAUUCUUUAUUAUUCUGUUGGAAUAACCUGUCUAUGUGGAUUAUCCGCAUGCAUGGUGAAUGAUCCUUCGUAUUCAUUCCUUAUUAAAUUGUGGAAAUGAUCUGUCUACGUGGAUUACCGCAUGGCGAGCGAAAAUCCAUUUACAGUUUCAUAUAUUUUAUUAUACUCAUUUGGUUAAAGUUUUGGCUUCUAUACUCCAUGAAAUUAGUAGAAUAUCCUGGAUAUUUGCGCUUCAUCGAGUAUCUUUUCAUGAAAAUAUUCUUCUGCGCAUUCUUGAAUUUUACUCCACAAAGAAGUAUCAUGUUGACAAUUUGGACGUUUUUGAUUCCUGGAUAAAUUAAAUUAUAAAUCUUUAAAAUUUAUCCUUGAACUUGUUUUAUUGAAUUAUUAUGUCAUUGUCAUCAUCCUCAUGCUUAUAUUGUGAUGAAGGUCAUCUUUGACUUACGUGCAUAGAUGGACUCGGUAUGAUUAUGACCAGGGAUUAUUCGGUAUAGUCAUGACCAUUGAUGAUUUAAUGAAUAUCCUUGGCCCGUAGUGCAUGGAUGAUUCGAUGAUGUGGUUUAUUUAUUAAGCUGAGUCUCAGUGAUAAAAAUUGAUGAAAAUAUUUUAAAUCAUAGAAGAUAGUAGAUAUCAUGCUCUACUUGACUCUUCUAAUGUAUUAUUUAUUCCGCUGCAGUUAAACUUGAUGUCUAUUGUAUUUUAUCAGUUUAACAUUGUUGAAGACUAAUGAUAAUUUAUUCUGCAUUAUCUUAGUCAUAAUAUUUCUUAAUGGGCUAGUUGAGCUCACCCGUUUGCUUUCAUUGUUCUCUUCAGGAAAUGAGAACGUAGCCGGGACUAGUCGGGGAACGGAGUGAUGGUCCAGGAUAAAUGGUUUUAGUAGUCCUCACUAUUCUACGGAAUAAUGUGAUAAUAAUUGUAAUGAGGAUACCAUUGAGAGUGGAUAUUGUCUAGAAGGAAAUAUUCCUGUUUAAACUCUCAGCUAUGUUUUGUCGUAUAUUACACGACGGUUGUAUAAUUAAGUUUGUAUUUGUAUUCUGUACCAUGUAUCUGGCGACUCAAGAUGGGCGAUGUAUACCUGUUUUGGGGGUGUCACAGUUGGUAUCAAAGCUUAGGGAUAUGAUCCCUGGCUGAGAUGUGAGACUAGAACUAGGAGGGGAGAGACGGGUAAUUCCUUCGCUAGUUUGACCUACCUAAGUUAUUUGUUAUUGAAUUGGUCGGUCAGAGUAUAGGGAUAAUAUGUGACAUGUCAAUUAACCCUUGAUUUGUGACAGUGUUUGAAAAUGACAUCUAAAAAUGUUGAGAUCAUCAAUGAAGCACAUGAGACCGUUGAGUCACCAACGAUCAAUACCCAGGAUAAUGUGCAACAGGAAGAUAAUAAUCCUCAGGUAAACAACAACACGAUAAUAAUCGUACCGGUGACAAUGGUCAUCGGAAUAAUGAUAACCAUCGUGGGGGAAAUUAUCAUGCCAAGAAUGGUAACCACUUCGGUGGUAAUCAUGGCCAAGAUAAUAAAAGUGGAAAAUUCAAGAAGAGAAUAUUUAACGAUGAUGGGAAUACAUCGGUAGCAGCACCAAUAACUGCUUUCAAGGAAGGAGAACGACCGCCAGUUAGAUGCUAUAGAUGCGGAGAGGAGGGACACAUAAGUCCAAACUGUUCACAGCUUUUCAAGGUAUGUUUUAGUUGUGGAAAAGACGGUCACAUAGCUCGAUUUUGUCGUGAACCAAAGUCAAGUCCAGUUGGGACGGUGGCACCAAAGGCGGAUACGGACAAAAUAAAGUCGGUAGUUUCAGGAAGAGCAUUUUUCGUGACUUCUCAAAAAGAGAGUAACCCGAACGAAGUUAGCACGGGUUAGUUAAUUAUAAAUUCUUGCGAAGUCUAUACCUUAUUAGAUAUCGGUUCUACCCAUUCUUUUAUCUCUCUUGCUUGUGCUCAAUGUUUAAAUUUAACUCUAGAGAAGUUAGACUUUGACUUAUCGAUUGAAACUUCGUUAGGAGAAACCUUCAUUUCAUGUGAUAUCCAAGUCUUGGAUGAGAGUCACAAUUUUUAAAUGAUAUUUCUAUCAUUAAUAAAUUUUCUGACGUAUUCUCUAAAGACUUCUUAGCCUAACCCUAGAGCGUGAAAUCGAAUUUUGUAUUGACCCCAGUACAAAACCCAUUUCUUCAACCCUUAAAUAUUUCUUCAACCAAAACGAACGUAUAAUGCGCCAAAGACGUUGGCUCGAGCGGUUGAAGAUUACGACCAUACCAUUCAAUAUCAUUGUGGAAGAGCGAACGUGGUAGCUGACGUAUUGAGUAGAAGAUCGUAUGCGUUUACAAGUGCGAUGUUGUUAACACAAAAACCCAUUUCGUAAAACUUACAAAUGAUGAAAAUAGAGUCAAAGACUCUAGAGACCCACGUGAAGAUAGCGAAUAUACGAUUAGAAUCGACUUUAAUCGAUAAAGGUAAAACCACUCAAACUACACACCUGGAGCUGUUGAAUAUGAAGAAGAAGGUUCAAGAAGGCAUUAUUCUAGAAGUAAGAGUCGAUGAAUAGAGGAAAUCUCAACCCUCAAUUUAAUUGGCCCAUUUGAAAUCCUCGAUCGAGUAGGAACUGUGGCCUAUAGAAUCGUUUUACCGCCAAGUAUGUCGCGUGUUCAUAACGUUUUUUUACGUAUCGAUAUUACGUAAAUAUGUGGACGACCCGAACCACAUUUGUGAGACCCCGAAUUUUAUGAAAUAAAAGUAUUCAAUUUUUUAAUUUAGUGAAUAGUUAAAUUGAUAAAAGUUUAAAGUUAAGGGUGACAUUUGAAAAUUUUUCAAAGUAAGUGAUGAUGAAGUAUUGUUUUAUUAGUAUUAUUAAUGUAAUAAAACAUAAAUGCUUUUUAUAUAAAACAGAAUACUUUUAUAAAGUUAUUCAUUUUAUUAGGCUAAUAGUAAAAUCUUUUUAUAUAAAAUAGAAUACUUUUAUAAAGUUAUCUGUUUUAUUAGAUAAUAAUUAGAAUAUAUUAUAUUUUAUUAUGCAUAGUAUUUGUAUAGUGUCUGCAUAGUGUUUGCAUAGUAAAAUCUUUUUAAAAGUUAUUCAUUUUAUUAGAUUAUAAAUAGAAUAUAUUAUAUUUUAUUGUAAACCAAUCUGGACCGUCCGUUUAAAAGUGAAUCAAUCUGGACCGUUCAUGGAUUAGUUACUAUUCAGUCCAUUCUUCUAUAAAUAGAAGCUCAUUCCUUCAUUAUUUCUUACGAAUUCACUGAAACUCUAGAGAGAGAAACUAUAGAGAGUGUUAUUCUUCUAUAAUCUUGAGCGUAUUUCUUUAGAGUUUAAGAAAUCUUUGAGCAUAGUGUAAGUUUUCUAUGAGUAUAUCCUCGCCCUACCAGUCGGAGUACGUACUCUUCUUUCAAAGGUAAGGGAUAUUAUUUGUUGUACCUGUAAGGGGUAUUAUUUCUUUUGUAUUCAUGAAGAGAACUUCUGUUAUUCCAUUCUUUAUUAUUAUGUUGGAAUAACCUGUUUAUGCGAAGUACCGCAUACAUGGUGAAAUUCUUCUAUUAUUCCGUUCUUUAUUAUUCUGUCGAAAUAUCCAGUCUGUGCGUUUACGCCGGACCUGGUUCCAUUAUCUAUCGUACGCAUGGUGAAUCCUUCUGUUAUUCCAUUUUUUAUUAUUUUGUUGGAAUAACCUGUUUAUGUGGAUUACCACAUGCAUGGUGAACGAUCCUUUGUAUUCAUUCCUUAUUAAAUUGUGGAAAUGAUCUGUUUACGUUGAUUAUGAUGAGAGUCAUAAUAAAAGCAUUGGACUGAUGAAAAUCAUGAGUAUAUGAAGUAUUAGUAAGUGUUAUGAUGAGUUAUGUUGGUUAUUAUGAGAAAACAUGAAAGUUUCUUAGAAAUCACAAACGGUUGAAAAUCAGAUUUUGGUGAAAAUGGAACAUGAAAUUCAAUUGACCAUAUCUCUUAUUAUAUUUUGAAUUUUUGGGUGUGGUCAAGUUCUAGAGUUAGAUCUAUGAGUUUCCUAACUUAUCCAAGUGGAAUCACUGGAAAAGGUGUUGUAGAUUUUCGUGUGGACUGUUUUUACCAAAGGAGUCAAAAGCUGCAAAAGAGAAAAAUGCUACUGUCCAGAUUUUAAAAGGGCUGUUUCGGCCACUUAAUUUGUGAGAAAAAUUCUGGCCUUUUGGGAUACGAAAAUAUAUGGUAUAAAGUACCUCCUGUCCAAAAAUGAGCUCAUUCCGACUUAAAAUGAGCAAGUUAUGACUAUUUCAAUAUUUAGGUUUUUUCGACGAAAAACGCUAUAACCGGAGUUCUAUAACUCUGAUGACGAUGAAAUUUAAACUGGAAGCUCACGUCAACAUGUGUAAGAUCUUGCGAAGAUUUGGAAAUUUCUGGAGUUAACCUUGAGGUAGCUAAUUUCUUAAGGAAUUAAUUAGAAAUUAAUUUUUGAAAAAUAGUAAAUGAAUUUUAAAAAUUUCGAGAAAAAUAUAUGUUCAAUAUGUGACUAUAUUCUGUUAAAUUCUAGAAAAGAAAUACUUUUGGGAAUGAUAUGGUAUUUUUCAUGAAAAUAAUUUAGUUACAAACAUAUGAGUUAAAUAUGUUAUGUGAAGUAACAAAGUUGGAAAAUAGGAUUUUAUGGGUAUAUGCAUAUUUUUGAUGAGGGAUUUAAUCAUUGGUAAUGAAAUCUUAUGAGUAUGACAUUUUUGAAUGAUUAAAUACAUUAUUUGGUAAAAUGUAAACAACUGAAAUAAAUUGUUUAUAAGUUUAAGAAGUGAUUAAAAUAUUGUUAUGAUAUUAAUAAUAUUAUAUUAUGAGUGGAUGAUAGUAUUUGGAUAAAUUUAAAGUCUUUAAUAUUUAUCCUUAUUUUCGUUUGAUUAAUACUUAUAUCAUUGUCAUCAUCCUCAUGUAUAUAUUAUGUUGAAAGUCAUCUAUGGCCUGUAGUGCAUAGAUGGACUUGGUAUGAUUAUGACCAGGGAUUAUUUGGUAUAAUCAUGACCGUAAUGUUACAAAUGAUGUGAAAAAAGUCCUCCUUGACCGUAGUGCAUUGAUCGACAGUUUUUGGUAUGAUUAUGACUAUGGAUUCUCUUUGGCCAAGGGUGCAAAGAUGAAUUAUUUUAUGGCAUGAUCAGGACCGUUGAUGAAAACACGAUUAUCUUUGGCCCGUGGUGCAUAGAUAAUUUGUGGUCGUGAUACUAAAAGAAUAUCCUUAGCCUAUAGUGCAGGGAUGAAUUGAUGAUGUGGAUUAAUUAUUGAGUUGAGUCUCAGCAAUGAAAUAUUAAUUCAUAGAUGUGAUAAUAAUGAAUAUCCUUAGCCGUAGUGCAUGGAUAAUUCAUGGAUGUGAUAUUAACGAAUAUCCAUGGCCGUAGUGCAGUAGUGAUUCGAUGAUGUGAAUUAUUUAUUAAGCUGAGUCUCAGCGAUAAAAUAUUGAUAAUAAACUUUUAAAUUCGUAAAAGAUAGUAAAUAUCAUGCUCUACUUGAUUCUUCUAAAAUACAGUUGUAUGUCUUUGGUCUGUAGUGCAAAGAUGAAUUGCUAAUGAAUAUCUUUGGUCAUAGUGCAAAGGUGAAUUUAUUAGUAUGAUUAUGAGCAAGGAUGUGAUUUGGUAUAACCAUGAUUUUUGAUGUUUCAGGUGAAGAUAGUUGAUGAAAAUUAUCUUCGUUCUGGGUGCGAAAAGGAAUUCAGAAUCACAAUUAUGAUUAUGAGUUAUUCAUAUGAUUGUGGACAGGAAUUGUUGAGUGAUGUUACAGGGAUAAAAUAUUAUUGGUGGACUUUUAACAUGGAGAAGAUAAUAGACCUAGUGGUCUAUUUGACUCUUUUAAUGGAUUGCUCGUUCCACUGCAACUAUGGUUGAAAAGUUUUAUCAUCUACAAUAUGUUCUAAAUCUCUAAUUUAUUAUUGACAAAAGCUAUUGAUAAUUUAAUUAUCUUUAGUUUUUAUAUUCUUUACUGGGCUAGUUGUGCUCACCCUUUUGCUUCACAAUUCCUUUCAGGUAAUAAGAGUGUAGCUGGGUCGAGCGGGGAUAACAGGGGAAUAGAACGGUGGUCUAUAGCUGUUGAGGUUCUCCCUAAAUAGUAUGAAAAUAAUUUUAUUAAGAACUUUAGAUAAGUGUGUCAUAUUGUAUACGUCAUUUGAUAUUUAAUUUUGGUGAACCAAAUAGGGUGAGGUGAACCCAACUUUGGAAGGGUGUUUUGUCACUAUCAUACCAGAUGUCUAAUGGCAUACAACCUCUGGUUAUCAUAAGACAUGGUUGUGCACACCCACUUGUUGAGUAUAUCUACGAGCACUACUUAUAUGAUCUUGGAGUUUAUUUGAAAUAUAAUUUUAACUUGGAGACAGUGGAGAUAGUUAUAUGUCAAGAGAAGACUCACCAUUGGAAGAAACAUGAUAGUAAUCUUUUCGUUUUUCUUUGGGGUCUAUUGGGUCAACCAAGGAUAAUUCUCUGGAUAUAUGAUAUCUGUCAUAACUUAGAUUCAUGGUCUCCUAUGUACGGAGGUUUCCUUGAGCACUUUCCAAAGAUUUUAAUUUCUAAAACAGUUUUUGAUUGUAUUUUUAUGUAAAGCACCAUUGUAAGGUUGUGGUCAAGGCACCAUUAAAGUUACAUAUAUUUGUAUUAAAACUCACAGUAUACAUGUCGUCGUAUUCUGUACGACAGUUCAACAGUUGGAUAAAUGAAGUUGUAUUUGAUUUUUAUAGUGUUAUAUCUGACGAUCCAAGAUGGGUGAUGUAUACCUAUUUUGGGGGCAUCACAUUUGGUCCGAAAAGAAAGCAAGGUAUUCUCAUCUCUUCGAAAUACCAGGAACGUACGUAAAUUUCGAGGGCGAAAUUUCAUAAGGAGGGGAGAUUGUGAGACCCCGAAUUUUAUGAAAUAAAAGUAUUCAAUUUUUUUAUUUUGGUGAAUAGUUAAAUUGAUAAAAGUUUAAAGUUAAGGGUGACAUUUGAAAUUUUUUCAAAAUAAGUGAUGAUGAAGUUUUGUUUUAUUAGUAUUAUUAAUAUAAUAAAACAGAAAUACUUUUUAUAUAAAACAGAAUACUUUUAUAAAGUUAUUCGUUUUAUUAGGCUAAUUAAUAGUAAAAUCUUUUUAUAUAAAACAGAAUACUUUUAUAAAGUUAUCUGUUUUAUUAGACAAUAAUUAGAAUAUAUUAUAUUUUAUUAUGCAUAGUAUUUGCAUAGUGUCUGCAUAGUGUUUGCAUAGUAAAUUUUUUUUAUAUAAAACAGCAUACUUUUAUAAAGUUAUUCAUUUUAUUAGAUUAUAAAUAGAAUAUAAUAUAUUUUAUUGUAAACCAAUCUGGACCGUCCGUUUAAAAGUGAAUCAAUCUGGACCGUUCAUGGAUUAGUUACUAUUCAGUCCAUUCUUUUAUAAAUAGAAACUCAUUCCUUCAUUAUUUCUUACGAAUUCACUGAAACUCUAGAGAGAGAAACUAUAGAGAGUUUUUCUUUUAUAAUCUUGAGCGUAUUUCUGUAGAGUUUAAGAAAGCUUUGAGCAUAGUGCAAGUUUUCUUCGAGUAUAUCCUCGCCCUACCAGUCGAAGUACGUACUCUUCUUUCAAAGGUAAGGGAUAUUAUUUGUUGUACCUGUAAGGGGUAUUAUUUUUUUUGUAUUCAUGAAUAGAACUUCUGUUAUUUCAUUCUUUAUUAUUAUGUUGGAAUAACCUGUUUAUGCGAAGUACCGCAUACAUGGUGAAAUUCUUAUAUUAUUCCGUUCUUUAUUAUUCUGUCGGAAUAUCCAGUCUGAGCGUUUACGCCGGACCUUGUUCCAUUAUUUAUUAUUCUGUUGGAAUAUCCCGUCUGUGCGUUUACCCCGUACCUGGUUCCAUUAUUUAUUAUUCUGUUGGAAUAACCUGUCUGUGCGAUCUAUCGCGUGCAUGGUAAUUUCUGUUGUUAUUCCAUUCUUUAUUAUUCUGUCGGAAUAUCUUGUCUGUGUGUUUACGCCGGACCUGGUUCCAUUAUUUAUUAUUCUGUUGGGAAUAAUCUUUCUGUGUAGUCUAUCGCAUGCAUGGUGAAUCCUUCUGUUAUUUCAUUUUUUAUUAUUCUGUUGGAAUAACCUGUCUAUGUGGAUUACCACAUGCAUGGUGAAUGAUCCUUUGUAUUUAUUCCUUAUUAAAUUGUGGAAAUGAUCUGUUUACGUUGAUUAUGAUGAGAGUCAUAAUAAAAGCAUUGGACUGAUGAAAAUCAUGAGUAUAUGAAGUAUUAGUAAGUGUUAUGAUGAGUUAUGUUGGUUAUGAGAAAACAUGAAAGUUUCUUAGAAAUCACAAAGGGUUGAAAAUCAAAUUUUGGUGAAAAUGGAACAUGAAAUUCAAUUGACCAUAUCUCUUAUUAUAUUUUGAAUUUUUGGGUGUGGUCAAGUUCUAGAGCUAGAUCUAUGAGUUUUCUAACUUAUCCAAGUGGAAUCAUUGAAAAAGGUGUUGUAGAUUUUCGUGUGGACUAUUUUUACCAAAAGAGUCAAAAGUUGCAAAAGAGAAAAAUGCUACUGUCCAGAUUUUAAAAGGGCUGUUUCGGACACUUAAUUUGUGAGAAAAAUUUUGGCCUUUUGGGACAUGAAAAUAUAUGGUAUAAAGUACCUCCUGUCCAAAAAUGAGCUCAUUCCGACUUAAAAUGAGCAAGUUAUGACCAUUUCAAUAUUUAGGUUUUUCCGACGAAAAAUGCUAUAACCGGAGUUCUAUAACUUCGAUGACCAUGAAAUUUAAACUGGAAGCUCACGUUAACAUGGGUAAGAUCCUGCCAAGAUUUGAGAAUUUCUGGAGUUAAACUUGAGGUAGCUAAAUUUCUUAAGGAAUUAAUUAAAAAUUGAUUUUUGAAAAAUAGUAAAUGAAUUUUAAAAAUUCUGAGAAAAAUAUAUGUUCAUAAUGGGACUAUAUUCUACUAAAUUCUAAAAAAGAAAUAUUUUUGGGACUGAUUUGUUAUUUUUCAUGAAAAUGGUUUAGUUACGAACAUAUGAGUUAAAUAUGUUAUGUGAAGUAACAAAGUUGGAAAAUAGAAUUUUAUGGCUUAGAAAUCCUAUAUAAGGUAUAUGCAGAUUUUUGAUGAGGGAUUUAAUUAUUGGUGAUGAAAUCUUAUGUGUAUGGCAUUUUUGAAUGAUUAAAUGCAUUAUUUGGUAAAGUGUAAACAAUUAAAAUAAAUUGUUUAUAAGUUUAAGAAGUGAUUAAAAUAUUGUUAUGAUAUUAAUAAUAUUAGAUUAUGAGUGGUGGAUAAUAUUUGGAUAAAUUUAAAGUCUUUAAUAUUUAUUCUUGUUUUCGUUUGAUUAAUACUUAUAUCAUUGUCAUCAUCCUCAUGUAUAUAUUAUGUUGAAAGUCAUCUGUGGCCUGUAGUGCAUAGAUGGACUUGGUAUGAUUAUGACCAGGGAUUAUUCGGUAUAAUCAUGAUCGUAAUGUUACAAAUGAUAUGGAAAAAGUCCUCGUUGGUCGUAGUGCAUUGAUGGACAGUUUUUGGUAUGAUUAUGGCUAUGGAUUUUCUUCGGUCAAGGGUGCAAAGACGAAUUGUUUUACGGCAUGAUCAGGACCGUUGAUGAAAACACGAUUAUCUUUGGCCCGUAGUGCGUGGAUAAUUCGUGGUCGUGAUACUAAAAGAAUGUCCUUGGCCUAUAGUUCAGGGAUGAAUUGAUGAUGUGGAUUAAUUAUUGAGCUGAGUCUCAGCAAUGAAAUAUUAAUUCAUGGAUGUGAUAAUAAUGAAUAUCCUUGGCCGUAGUGAAGGGGUGAUUCGAUGAUGUGGAUUAUUUAUUAAGCUGAGUCUCAGCGAUAAAAUAUUGAUAAUAAGCUUUUAAAUUCGUAGAAGAUAGUAGAUAUUAUGCUCUACUUGACUUUUCUAAAGUACAGUUGUAUGUCUUUGGCCUGUAGUGCAAAAGAUGAAUUGUUAAUGAAUAUCUUUGGCCGUAGUGUAAAGAUGAAUUUAUUAGUAUGAUUAUGAGCAGGGAUUGUGAUUAGGUAUAACCAUGAUUUUUAAUGUUUUAGGUGAAGAUAGGUGAUAAAAAUUAUCUUCGUCCUGGGUGCGAAAAGGAAUUCAGAAUCACAAUUAUGAUUAUGAGUUAUUCAUAUGAUUGUGGACAAGAAUUGUUGAUUGAUGUUACAUGGAUAAAAUAUUAUUGGUGGACUUUUAACACGUAGAAGAUAAUAGACCUAAUGGUCUAUUUGACUCUUUUAAUGGAUAGCUCGUUCCGCUGCAACUAUGGUUGAAAAGUUUUAUCAUAUACCAUAUGUUCUAAAUCUCUGAUUUAUUAUUGACAAAAGCUAUUGAUAAUUUAAUUAUCUUUAGUUAUGAUAUUCUUUACUGGGCUAGUUGUGCUCACCCUUUUGCUUCACAAUUCCUUUCAGGUAAUAAGAGUGUAGCUGGGUCAAGCGGGGAUAACAGGGGAAUAGAACGGUGGUCUAUAGUUGUUGAGGUUCUCCCUA
rnacentral:lncRNA from 1 species